rnacentral:rRNA from 1 species
GAUGAACGCUGGCGGCGUGCCUAACACAUGCAAGUCGAGCGGCAGCGAGGGGUGCUUGCACCCUGUCGGCGAGCGGCGGACGGCUGAGUAACGCGUGGGAACGUGCCCCAAAGUGAGGAAUAACUGCCCGAAAGGGUAGCUAAUACCGCAUAUUAUCUUCGGAUCAAAGGAUUUAUCCGCUUUGGGAGCGGCUCGCGUCGGAUUAGGUAGUUGGUGAGGUAAUGGCUCACCAAGCCGAGGAUCCGUAGCUGGUCUGAGAGGAUGACCAGCCAGACUGGAACUGGGACACGGUCCAGACUCCUACGGGAGGCAGCAGUGAGGAAUCUUGCACAAUGGGCGAAGGCCUGAUGGAGCAACGCCGCGUGCAGGACGAAGGCCUUCGGGUUGCAAACUGCUUUUAUAAGUGAGGAAUAUGACGGUAACUUAUGAAUAAGGAACGGCUAACUACGUG